CGAGCAUCCUUGCGUCAAAUGCGGAAUUUAUGCGUGCAUAUAGCCCAUUGGGUGUAUUCCAUGUUAUGUUGUUGUGUCUAACCCACAGAAAAGGUUACUCUCCAGGUUUGUUAGCACAAAUGCCUGGGUUUGAUUCACUGAUUCAUAUUGUUUUGAAUUCUUGCCAUCACAAAUAUUAGCAUCUAUAGCAGAAUUGUACAUUCAGGAAGAAGCUACAUUUCAGCUUCAUCACAAUAUCAGUUUAAUAAGAAAAAAAUACUGUUCUGUUAAAUUUAGCAUCAAUGAAUCUUUAAACAAUGCUACAGUAGUAGUUUGUUUUUUAUCUGAUCACAUGCUUUGCAUCAAGUGAGACUUGUGGUUUUGUUGUUUUGUGCAUGUGCUUGCCAGAUAUAGCUAUUCAUUUGCAUUGUGGUAUAUGACUGAAGGUGCAGGAUUACCAGAUCAGAGAAACAAUGCAUUUUGGAUCAUUGUUACUUGUUUGUUUGUUUUUUGGUCUCGGAUUUUCUGCAGUACAAGUAAAACAGUACUUUCAAAAGAAAUAUCAAGUAGGUGAUUCAGCACUUCUCUACUGUAACCUUACCAGUGACAAAGAAACGGUUAGAAGAUGUACAAUGAUGUGGCAGAUUUACGAUGAAAAUGCAAAGAUCCUUGUACACAUCACAAAAAUACCAAAAUAUCAACAAAGAGUCAACAUUAAAUCCCAAGACACUUUCACCUCGAUGACAAUAAAAGACCUGAUGGUUACAGACAUAGAAAAGAUAUUGUGUUCAGCUGUGUGUUUUGUUAAUGAGGAGAUCCAAUACAUCGCCGACAAUGGGACAGUUCUAACAGUUACAGAACCAAAACCAGAACUAAAACCUGAACUUCAAUGGUUGAAAUACCUUAUUUUCUCCAUUAAUCUUUUGAUUUUCACUAUUGCACUGGGAAUACUUAUUUUCAUUACACGACAAAGGAGAGGCGAAAGGAGAAGGUGUAAAUGACUGGAAAACCAUGUUUGGUGCAAAUACAUUAAUUUUGAACGAUAACAUCAAGUAAUCACCCUUUUUUUAUGGAACUUCAUUAGGCUUACUAUGUUAACCCUCAUGUUAACCCUUCUGUUGAGGUUAAUGUUUCUAAUGUUUAGAGUCCCAGAGAGUCCAAUGAUGGACAGUACUCUACAUGUUAAGAAGUUUACAUACACUUGAUUCUUAAUUAUGUGUAAAACAUAUUAAUAUUCAAGCAUAUGUAAACUUUCGGGCUGUUUAAAAAAGUUUAAAAAAUCAACGAAAUUUGAAAUAGCUUCAUUAGUUUGGUAAUAAAUAAAUAAAACAUGCAUUUUGCAUCAUGCAAACAACAUUUUUAAGAUCCCUCUUUGUAGGCCUAUUUAAUAAGAAUUUCAAAUCAAUCUAAUUUUAGCACAUGAACAAACAUAUUUGUCCAGCAAAAACUAUAAUACAAUGUAUUUUCCUUUAUUUCAAUAGUAUAUAUAGUCUGCUUUGUCUCUGCUUGAUCAAACAAAGAAAUAAUAAGCACUGCCGUCUAUUAGUCUGAAUGGCACGCAACGUUGCAUUCAUGAAUCCUUUUUUUGUUAUUGUAAUUUGUAGCUGUGUCGCAUGAUAUAUUUGAUAUACUCUAUGCUUGUAUUUCUCUGGUGGGAAUAAACAGCAGCCAUAAAAUCCUUAUGAGAGUCGCUUGCUUUAA